UACGAAGGGGGCUAGCGUUGCUCGGAAUCACUGGGCGUAAAGGGUGCGUAGGCGGGUCUUUAAGUCAGGGGUGAAAUCCUGGAGCUCAACUCCAGAACUGCCUUUGAUACUGGAGGAUCUUAGAGUUCCGGGAAGAGGUGAGUGGAACUGCGAGUGUAGAGGUGAAAUUCGUAGAUAUUCGCAAGAACACCAGUGGCGAAGGCGGCUCACUGGUCCGGUACUGACGCUGAGGUGCGAAAGCGUGGGGAGCAAACAGG
rnacentral:rRNA from 1 species